rnacentral:tRNA from 1 species
UGGAUCACCUCCUUUCUAAGGAUGAUCAAGAAUGGGGUUUACUCCUUUUUGAUCAAAUUAGACAUGAGUUUUAUUCACAUUUAAACUUGUCUCAAGUACAAAUGUUUUGAAUAAAACCUUUUAAUCAGCCUAUAGUCACUAUAGGUUAAGCAGGCUUGCCGCCUUCAUUUCUCUUUCUUCCGAUGAUGAUCCCAAGCCUUCAGGCGUUCUGUUCAUCAAAUUUCGAAUGCGUUAAAAAAACACUUGAAAGCAUUUAAAUUUAAAAAACAUUUAAGUGCAUUUAAGAAACGUUCGAAAGCGUUUAAGAAACAAAUAAAGAAAGUGUUUUAAGAAACAUAUCUGUUUCUUAAAUAUAGCUUUUGUUCUCUUUUGUUUUCUUUUAUCUGUCCCGAGGAAGGUUUUUACCGGUUUACUCCUGAGGGCUUGUAGCUCAGUUGGUUAGAGCGCGCGCUUGAUAAGCGUGAGGUCGGAGGUUCAAGUCCUCCCAGGCCCACCAAUUUAUGAUUGCUGAUAAGUUUGCUGAUAAAGUUUUUUGCGAACGUUUUGAUGGUCUUUUAUCUUGCAAUCUUUCAAAAGUAUUUGAACUGUUUUAGGGGCCGUAGCUCAGCUGGGAGAGCACCUGCUUUGCAAGCAGGGGGUCGUCGGUUCGAUCCCGUCCGGCUCCACCAUCUUUGGUUAUCAUCAUCGUUAAAGAACAAUGUUUGCGAUAGAUCUAUAGAUCUUAAGUCUAUCAUCUAUUGCCUGUUCUAUUGAAAUUGUGAAGAGAAGAUAUAUUCAGACAUUAUUGUUUUUUAGUAAUUGCUGUUGUUGUUGUUGCUUUUAAGAUUUAAGUCUCUCCUUUAAGGAAUGACAAAAAGCUUAAAAAAGCAACGCUAACUUAAAAACACAACGCUAACAUUGCUUUAAAGCAUUGGCUUUUUAAAUUUAGUCAUUGUUUUAAAACAUAUUAAAACAAUAUAAUGUGUCGCUAAGGUAUGCUCAAAGCCUUAGCUUUAUGAUUGGUGUUUAACCGCGCCAUUGAAUAUAUCUCGAGAAACUGGUCUUUCUGCUGAUAUUUUUGUUUAUUAA